rnacentral:rRNA from 1 species
GUAGGUGGCAAGCGUUGUCCGGAAUUAUUAGGCGUAAAGCGCGCGCAGGCGGUUCUUUAAGUCUGAUGUGAAAGCCCACGGCUCAACCGUGGAGGGUCAUUGGAAACUGGAGAACUUGAGUACAGAAGAGGAAAGCGGAAUUCCACGUGUAGCGGUGAAAUGCGUAGAGAUGUGGAGGAACACCAGUGGCGAAGGCGGCUUUCUGGUCUGUAACUGACGCUGAGGCGCGAAAGCGUGGGGGAGCAAACAGGAUUAGAUACCCUGGUAGUCCACGCCGUAAACGAUGAGUGCUAAGUGUUAGGGGGUUUCCGCCCCUUAGUGCUGCAGCUAACGCAUUAAGCACUCCGCCUGGGAGUACGGCCGCAAGGCUG